rnacentral:rRNA from 1 species
UACAGAGGGUGCAAGCGUUGUUCGGAAUUAUUGGGCGUAAAGGGCGCGUAGGCGGCUUGGCAAGUGGAUGGUGAAAUCCCUCGGCUUAACCGAGGAACUGCCGUCCAAACUGCUUCGCUUGAGACCGGGAGAGGUGAGUGGAAUUCCGAGUGUAGAGGUGAAAUUCGUAGAUAUUCGGAAGAACACCAGUGGCGAAGGCGGCUCACUGGACCGGCAUUGACGCUGAGGUGCGAAAGCGUGGGGAGCAAACAGG